UGCGUAGGCGGCUUUUUAAGUUUGGUGUGAAAUCUCCCGGCUCAACUGGGAGGGUGCGCCGAAUACUGAGAGGCUAGAGUGUGGGAGAGGAAAGUGGAAUUCCUGGUGUAGCGGUGAAAUGCGUAGAUAUCAGGAGGAACACCGGUGGUGUAAACGGCUUUCUGGACCAUAACUGACGCUGAGGCACGAAAGCGUGGGUAGCAAACAGGAUUAGAUACCCUGGUAGUCCACGCCCUAAACGAUGCAUAUUUGGUGUGGGCCAUUCAUUUGGUCCGUGCCGGAGCUAACGCGUUAAAUAUGCCGCCUGGGGAGUACAGUCGCAAGGCUGAA
rnacentral:rRNA from 1 species